CUAGAAUGGAUACUCUCAGGAGGUCACUCUCCCUGGUUCUGUCCAAGAGAAAUAGGGGAGCACAGGGCUCUGUCCAUGUGUACAGACACUUCGCAUAAUUUUAGAGAAGUUGCCUGGAGGCUAAACUUGCAUAU
rnacentral:snoRNA from 1 species